rnacentral:tRNA from 1 species
GGAGAGCUGACUGAGCGGCCGAAAGUGACGGUCUUGAAAACCGUUGUGCGGGUGAACCCCGUACCGUGGGUUCGAAUCCCACGCUCUCCG